AAGGAGUUAGUUAAAAUAUAACAUUAGAGUGUCAAUCUAAAAUAACUAUAAAUUAGUACACCUUG
rnacentral:tRNA from 2 species